GGACGCACCGCUCGGCCUCCCCGUUCCCCUCCGAGCGGCCCGCAGAGCGAAGAGCGUUCGCCCACGGGAGCCCGACCCCCCCCCCGCUCUCGGCCGUUCUAGUCACCAUGGAAGGAACUGUAUUGUGUUUAGAACCGAAGGGACCGAACCUGAGGACUUCCAGUACCACCCCACUGCCGUCCUGGCGGCUGCUUUCAGUGCAGACAAUGAGCCCACGUCUCAGCCCAGAAAAGGGACGCAAGCAGUUCGUUAGAUAGCUUGCAUUCCUUCUGCCAGUUGAGGCAACUGUGAUUAUUUAUUUUAUACUGUCCAAGAAUAUCUUAGAAAGUUAGCAAAACAUAUGGAUGUGCGCAGAGCAGCUCCGGUUCCCUCUCUAAUAAAUAGCAGCAGCCCCGUUGUCUUUAGCACAGCCAGCGCUGGUCACGUCGCUGCUUACAGCCUAAACAUGCAGGGAAGGAGAGCGGUGGGAGGAAGGAGAUAAGCCUCGGAAGGAAGAGGGGAACGGCAGAUGUCCAGGUCUGAUUAAAGGGAAAAUCUGGUGUUUCCUUUUCUUUCCGCUGGUUUGUAUGCGGUGUCAUAAAUUCACCGGUGGAAGCUGAAAGCGCUACGAGUUGUUCAGGUCCGUCGGCAGCGACACGAGCGGAGCGGUGACUGCGCUCUGUGCUCACCCUGCUGCCACAGGACAGCACAGGGAGAGAAGCCCUCACACUCAGCAGUUCUGCUUGGGUUCAGCUCUGACUGUGGUUCUCCCAGGUCUGAUCUGACUUCAGCAAGACUGCAGAAGAACGGAUCAGUUCCAUCCGAGUAUUAGGGGGAAAAAAACCAAAACACAACAUGAUCCAGUUUGGGGUCGGCUCGGUUCCUUGCUAUCUGCUCAGGUCUGAAUGCUAACCUUGGUUAAACACAUAGAUCAAAACAGUAUCCCCUGGUUUGUGUAGGUCAGUGCACCACAGUCGAUCCCACACGUCAGCAUUUAGGACGUUUGACCUCAAACCUUGCUCACCGUGCUUCUGUGGGACCCACAGGGGAAUCGCCGCCGGUCUUCAGGCCAUGCUGCCGAGGACCGCUGAGUUCAGGGCAGCAAGUCCAGCUCUAUGAGAACCAAGUCCAACUCCAUGGGAACCAAGCUACGCAGCAUCUCUUCCAACAGGGCUGUUCCCUUUUACACGUGUGCUAUUGCAGAUCAGGAUGCCAGAAUUUUACAUGCACUGUACACAUUUUAAAAAUCCCAAAUCUUUUUAGAAACUCUGCAAGAAUAGUAAGUCCAUCCAAUAAAUAAAUAAAUAAAUAAUCCAUCUCUUGAAAGGAUCCUCCCUGCUAAUUAGAGCUGAGCUCCAUCCUGCAUGGAUGUAUUUUCUUUGUUUUCUACAUACUAAUUUGUUUCUGCUGAUAACGAGAGCCAAACUGUGUUUUGAAAACUCGUGCAACCAGAUUUAAUCUAUUAGGACUAUGCUGUUUUCAAUUGUCUGUAGGACGGCAUUCCAACUUUAGGGACAAAAGAAAAGAAAUAUGAGCCUCAAGAUUUGUUUAUUAAAAACACAUCUAAUUGGUUAAAUCUCUCACAAAACCUCCAAAAUGAAGAUGGAAAAAAGAAGCAUAUAUUAUAGGGCUGCCUGUCAUUUUUAGACAGACGAGAGCAGAGAACAUUUCUGUUAAAAUAGGAGCCGGGGUGGCCCAAAUGCUGUGGCCUGAGGAGCAGAUGAGGGUCCUGCGAGUGAUCCCUUCCUUCCCACCCUCUUCCUCUGCCUCCCCUUGCUGUGCUGCCCUCGGCAAGCCUGGCUCUCAUUCACGCCAACACCUGGUGCUGCUGCAAAGGCAGGCUGGUGCCAGAGAGGCUCCGAGGGCAGUGGGCAGCCCC
ensembl:lncRNA